CCUUCUCCAGAUCUGAUCCACCUUUUCAAGGUAGAUCUGAAGCUCUGGAUCCAUGACGAUCUGAUCGUCGGGACUGUCAGAUGCAGCCUUCUUCUUCCUUCAGUUGGAUGGCAUCUGAACACCUUCAAGCACACACUGGAUCAACCCAACUCCUUUAGGCAUGAGAUAUGGAGGAAGCCUACUCUAGGUAUAUAGAUAUGGA
rnacentral:lncRNA from 1 species